GACGAACGCUGGCGGCGUGCUUAACACAUGCAAGUCGAACGGAAAGGCCCUGCUUGCCGGGUACUCGAGUGGCGAACGGGUGAGUAACACGUGGGUGAUCUGCCCUGCACUUCGGGAUAAGCCUGGGAAACUGGGUCUAAUACCGGAUAGGAGCCAUUUUUAGUGUGAUGGUUGGAAAGUUUUUUCGGUGUAGGAUGAGCUCACGGCCUAUCAGCUUGUUGGUGGGGUAAUGGCCUACCAAGGCGGCGACGGGUAGCCGGCCUGAGAGGGUGGACGGCCACAUUGGGACUGAGAUACGGCCCAGACUCCUACGGGAGGCAGCAGUGGGGAAUAUUGCACAAUGGGCGCAAGCCUGAUGCAGCGACGCCGCGUGGGGGAUGACGGCCUUCGGGUUGUAAACUCCUUUCGCUAGGGACGAAGCUUUUUGUGACGGUACCUAGAUAAGAAGCACCGGCUAACUACGUG
rnacentral:rRNA from 1 species